GUAGUCUGCAACUCGACUACAUGAAGCUGGAAUCGCUAGUAAUCGCGAAUCAGCAUGUCGCGGUGAAUACGUUCCCGGGUCUUGUACACACCGCCCGUCACACCAUGGGAGUCGGAAAUGCCCGAAGUCAGUGACCCAACCGCAAGGAGGGAGCUGCCGAAGGCAGGCUCGAUAACUGGGGUGAAGUCGUAACAAGGUACC
rnacentral:rRNA from 1 species